rnacentral:rRNA from 1 species
CCUACGGGUGGCUGCAGUGGGGAAUAUUGCACAAUGGGGGAAACCCUGAUGCAGCGACGCCGCGUGAGUGAAGAAGUAUCUCGGUACGUAAAGCUCUAUCAGCAGGGAAGAAAAUGACGGUACCUGACUAAGAAGCCCCGGCUAACUACGUGCCAGCAGCCGCGGUAAUACGUAGGGGGCAAGCGUUAUCCGGAUUUACUGGGUGUAAAGGGAGCGUAGACGGCAGCACAAGUCUGGAGUGAAAUCCCGGGGGUUAACCCCGGAACUGCUUUGGAAACUGUGCGGCUGGAGUGCGGGAGGGGUAAGCGGAAUUCCUAGUGUAGCGGUGAAAUGCGUAGAUAUUAGGAGGAACACCGGUGGCGAAGGCGGCUUACUGGACUGUAACUGACGUUGAGGCUCGAAAGCGUGGGGAGCAAACAGGAUUAGAUACCCGAGUAGUC